rnacentral:rRNA from 1 species
AUGAUGGAAGACAAUGAAGAAGAAGAGGACGACGACAGCUAUCCUGGCCAUGGGUUCCCUGAAUACGAUGAUACAACAAUGGGGGAAGAAGCUGAGCCGGCAAUGCGGGAAGAAGCUGAAGAAGAGCCAUCAGAUGAGCCCGCUGAUGAUCUAGGUCGGGCUAUUCCCGAUGCAAAGAGAAACUGCGCAAGUGAUUUGGAGAAGAAGAAGUUGCAGCACAUGUUAGAGGAUCACAAGAAAUUGUUGUACCCGAAUUACGAAGCUGACAAAAAAAAGUUGGGCACCACACUGGAAUUGCUGCAAUGGAAGGCAAAGAAUGGUGUAUCUGACAAGGGAUUUGGAAAGUUGCUGGUAAUGAUAAAGAAUAUGCUUCCAAAGGACAACGAAUUGCCCGAGAGUACGUACAAAGCAAAGAAGGUUGUCUGCCCUCUAGGGUUAGAGGUGCAGAAGAUACAUGCA